GGUAGCACAGAGGAGCUUGCUCCUUGGGUGACGAGUGGCGGACGGGUGAGUAAUGUCUGGGAAACUGCCCGAUGGAGGGGGAUAACUACUGGAAACGGUAGCUAAUACCGCAUAACGUCGCAAGACCAAAGAGGGGGACCUUCGGGCCUCUUGCCAUCGGAUGUGCCCAGAUGGGAUUAGCUAGUAGGUGGGGUAACGGCUCACCUAGGCGACGAUCCCUAGCUGGUCUGAGAGGAUGACCAGCCACACUGGAACUGAGACACGGUCCAGACUCCUACGGGAGGCAGCAGUGGGGAAUAUUGCACAAUGGGCGCAAGCCUGAUGCAGCCAUGCCGCGUGUAUGAAGAAGGCCUUCGGGUUGUAAAGUACUUUCAGCGAGGAGGAAGGUGUUGAGGUUAAUAACCGCAGCGAUUGACGUUACUCGCAGAAGAAGCACCGGCUAACUCCGUGCCAGCAGCCGCGGUAAUACGGAGGGUGCAAGCGUUAAUCGGAAUUACUGGGCGUAAAGCGCACGCAGGCGGUCUGUCAAGUCGGAUGUGAAAUCCCCGGGCUCAACCUGGGAACUGCAUCCGAAACUGGCAGGCUAGAGUCUUGUAGAGGGGGGUAGAAUUCCAGGUGUAGCGGUGAAAUGCGUAGAGAUCUGGAGGAAUACCGGUGGCGAA
rnacentral:rRNA from 1 species